rnacentral:rRNA from 1 species
UACGUAGGGGGCAAGCGUUGUCCGGAUUUACUGGGCGUAAAGCGCGUGUAGGCGGUCCGGUAAGUCCGCUGUGAAAGUCGAGGGCUCAACCCUCGAAUGCCGGUGGAUACUGUCGGGCUUGAGUACGGGAGAGGCGAGUGGAAUUCCUGGUGUAGCGGUGAAAUGCGCAGAUAUCAGGAGGAGCACCGAUUGCGAAGGCAGCUCGCUGGAACGUUACUGACGCUGAGACGCGAAAGCGUGGGGAGCAAACAGG